GGGAGGGAUCCGGUAAGAACCCCUUCUUAUAUAAGAACCCUAGUUAUAUAAGAACCAAUCUCAACCGUAGGAUUAGAUUGGGAUGAGCGGUCAGGAUUAAAACAAAAUAAAAACCAUCUUUCCUCAAAAAACACACAACCUAACUUUCUCUCUCUUCGAUUAUCGUAGUAGUUCAUGACUUUCUCUCUCCUCAAACUCCUAAAAAUCUCCAUAGAAGCUGCAAUUUGAAGGAUUUUCAACAUUUUUCCUUCAUUUUUUUUUGCAUAAAUUCAACAUCAAGGAUCAUAAAACAAGUCAAAUUGUUCAAUAAAAGUACAAAUUUUGGCGAUAAAGCCCUAGAUUUCGCAAUUUUCAAAUUCAGAGAAGGCGGCAGAGGAUCAACGAGAAAAUGAAAGCACUGCAAAAAUUGAUUCCCAACUCCAAUAAGGUGCUACUAAAUCUACUUAUAAUUAUUAAUUAUUUUUCCAUUUUAUCAAUGUUUUUUACUACAAUAUUUUUUUUUAUGGCAGACGGAUAAGGCUUCAAUGUUGGAUGAAGCUAUCGAAUAUUUAAAACAGCUUCAGCUACAAGUUCAGGUGUGUUAUCUUACAAAAUUUGAUGAUUGUAUAUUUUAUGCAGAGGAUUGAAAUACAAGUACAAUGUAUUUCCUGUCGUCACUUAGUUUAAUUGAUUAGCAUUAUUAUA